AUUGAACGCUGGCGGCAUGCCUUACACAUGCAAGUCGAACGGUAACGCGGGGCAACCUGGCGAUGAGUGGCGAACGGGUGAGUAAUGCAUCGGAACGUGCCCAAUAGUGGGGGAUAGCCCGGCGAAAGCCGGAUUAAUACCGCAUACGACCUACGGGUGAAAGCAGGGGAACGCAAGACCUUGCGCUAAUGGAGCGGCCGAUGUCAGAUUAGGUUGUUGGUGGGGUAAAAGCCCACCAAGCCGACGAUCUGUAGCUGGUCUGAGAGGACGACCAGCCACACUGGGACUGAGACACGGCCCAGACUCCUACGGGAGGCAGCAGUGGGGAAUUUUGGACAAUGGGCGCAAGCCUGAUCCAGCCAUGCCGCGUGCGGGAUGAAGGCCUUCGGGUUGUAAACCGCUUUUGUUAGGGAAGAAAUAUUCUGGGCUAAUACCCCGGGAAGAUGACGGUACCUAAAGAAUAAGCACCGGCUAACUACGUGCCAGCAGCCGCAGUAAGAC
rnacentral:rRNA from 1 species